rnacentral:snoRNA from 1 species
UUCCCUGAUGAUCUCAUGUAUUCGCUGUGUUCUUACUGAAUUCUCAUGACGAACAUACAUCACCUUGGAGAACUGAUAU